CUGCUAUCGGGGUGGGACUAAGACAUGCGAGUCAAGCGUCUCUAGCUAUGUUGAGACGCGGCACACGGCUCAGUAACACGUGGCUAACCUACCCUCAGGACAGGGACAACCCCGGGAAACUGGGGCUAAUACCUGAUAGGUGAGGAUGCCUGGAAUGGUUUCUCACUCAAAGGGCUUUGGGAACAUGCUUCCAUUGUCGCCUGGGGAUGGGGCCGCGACCGAUCAGGUUGUUGGUUGAGGUAACGGCUCACCAAGCCUUUAACCGGUACGGGCCGUGAGAGCGGUAGCCCGGAGAUGGGUACUGAGACAAGGACCCAGGCCCUACGGGGCGCAGCAGUCGCGAAAACUCCGCAAUGCACGAAAGUGUGACGGGGCUACCCCGAGUGCCGUCCGCUGAGGAUGGCUUUUCCCUGGUUUAACUAGCCAGGGGAAUAAGGAGAGGGCAAGACUGGUGUCAGCCGCCGCGGUAAUACCAGCUCUCCGAGUGGUAGGGAUGAUUAUUGGGCUUAAAGCGUCCGUAGCCGGCUUAGCAAGUCUCCUGUUAAAUUCAGCGACCUAAUCGUUGAGCCGCGGGAGAUACUACUAGGCUAGGAGGCGGGAGAGGUCGACGGUACUUCUGGGGUAGGGGGUGAAAUCCUAUAAUCCCGGGAGGACCACCAGUGGCGAAGGCUGUUGACUAGAACGCGCUCGACGGUGAGGGACGAAAGCUGGGGGAGCAAACCGGAUUAGAUACCCGGGUAGUCCCAGCUGUAAACGAUGCGGGCUAGGUGUUGGGGUGGCUACGUGCCACUUCAGUGCCGCAGGGAAGCCAUUAAGCCCGCCGCCUGGGGAGUACGGCCGCAAGGCUGAAACUUAAAGGAAUUGGCGGG
rnacentral:rRNA from 1 species